rnacentral:rRNA from 1 species
AGAGUUUGAUCAUGGCUCAGAAUCAACGCUGGCGGCGCGCCUAACACAUGCAAGUCGAACGAGAAAGUGGAGCAAUCCAUGAGUACAGUGGCGUACGGGUGAGUAACACGUGGGUGAUCUACCUCUUAGUGAGGAAUAACCCUGGGAAACCGGGGCUAAUACCGCAUAAGCCUGAGAAGGGAAAGCAGCAAUGCGCUGAGAGAGGAGCCCGCGGCCGAUUAGCUAGUUGGUGAGGUAAAAGCCCACCAAGGCAGAGAUCGGUAGCCGGCCUGAGAGGGCACACGGCCACACUGGCACUGAAACACGGGCCAGACUCCUACGGGAGGCAGCAGUGGGGAACCUUGCACAAUGGGGGAAACCCUGAUGCAGCGACGCCGCGUGAGCGAUGAAGCCCUUCGGGGUGUAAAGCUCUUUCGUCAGGGAAGAUUAUGACGGUACCUGGAGAAGCAGCUGCGGCUAACUACGUGCCAGCAGCCGCGGUAAUACGUAGGCAGCAAGCGUUGUUCGGAGUUACUGGGCGUAAAGGGUGUGUAGGCGGUUCUUUAAGUUUGGUGUGAAAUCUCCCGGCUCAACCGGGAGGGUGCGCCGAAUACUGAGGGACUAGAGUGUGGGAGAGGAAAGUGGAAUUCCUGGUGUAGCGGUGAAAUGCGUAGAUAUCAGGAGGAACACCGGUGGUGUAGACGGCUUUCUGGACCAUAACUGACGCUGAGACACGAAAGCGUGGGUAGCAAACAGGAUUAGAUACCCUCGUAGUCC